rnacentral:rRNA from 1 species
AUGAGCGAGGCCCCCGAACCCGAAGCACCACCCGGCUUGGCCACCCCCGACGCCGGUCACUGCCCUCGCCACUGGUUGCUGCCCUCGCUGUCGGUUGCCUCCUUCGCCGUGUGUCAGCUCCUCCCAACCAUCUCACUCGUUCGCAGUUUCCGUCGUGGUCAGAUCCCCCGCCAAACUUGGCCAUGGCUGACACGGAGCCUCCGUCGGCAGCGGUUGAAGCUCCCCGCCCUCGCGGUUGCAGCAUCUGGUGCACCACCCCCCUCCGUCCUCGCCGUCGAGCUUGCCGCAGGCGUCGCCGUCUCUGCUGGCCUCCAUCGACAUGCAUCGUACCUACAGAAUUCCAGUGGUCGAUUGAAGCAAAAUCAAAUAACGCUUCCAGCAAACCAAAACUUAGGUUCCAGCAAAAACGACAUGAAACAUUUGAGAGCUCUACAGCCGAUGAAGCAAAAAAUUACAUCUGUUCCAGCAAAACAAUACAUCGGUUCCAGCAAAAACAAAAUUUUGGUUCUGUAA